UGAAGUAAGUAAUCUAUUUUAAUCUUAUUGUGGAUCAUAUGAGUACUAUGUUUGUUAAGUUUUUAAAGUGUUAUUCAUGCAUGAUAUGUUAUGAUGGAUAAGUAACUUGCCUAAUCUCAUAAACUAUGGCCAUGUAUGCACCAUGAUUAUGCUUAUAUUUUAAUCAUGCAUGCAAGUUAGUAUAACGAAAUACUAUCUAGCCAAGAGGCACUAUAAUGGGCUCAAAGAUGCUACUGAUCGAAUGCAACUAAGCUGGCCUUGCUAGUGGCUGAAAAUAACUUCGCUGGCCUUGUUAGUGGCCGAGAAUGACUAGCUGGCCCCGCCAGUGGCCGAAUGGACUUCGCAGUAGCAUCCGAGAGAAUGGACCAGGGCAUGCCGGGGGCACAAUUUCAUGUGCAUGUUUUAUGAAAAUUCUGUUUGACUGAAAAUACUGCUUUGUUUUCCAAGCAUACAUAUUUUGCUAUGAUAAAUUGUGAGAUAAUACGCAUGUCAGCUUCUCAAACCCUGCAUAAACAUGGUUACCAUUAUGUUCGAUCCAGUAAGAUUAUGUAUGAUUACUUACUGAGUUGUGUAGCUCAUACCCAUUAUUUACAUUUUUUUUCAGAUCCUCACCACUGAAAGCUACCAGAGACACUUUAAUUUUGUAUCAGGGCUUCUUUCUUUUGGGGUAAAGCAAGUAUAUUUUUGUAUACAUAAACUACAUAGAAGCUCUGUAUUUGGGUACUGAUCAGCAUGUUGUACUAAGAAUGCUUUCAUAUGAAAAGAUUUGGUUGGUUUG
rnacentral:lncRNA from 1 species